rnacentral:tRNA from 1 species
GCGGAAGUGCUGGAAUUGGCAGACAGGCUAGACUAAGGAUCUAGUGUUGGAAACGACGUGUGGGUUCAAGUCCCAUCUUCCGCA